rnacentral:rRNA from 1 species
CGUGUAGGCGGCUUGACAAGUCAGAAUGUGAAAUCCCUGGGCUUAACCCAGGAAGUGCAUUUGAAACUGUUUGGCUGGAGUAAGGGAGAGGAAAGUGGAAUUCCUGGUGUAGAGGUGAAAUUCGUAGAUAUCAGGAGGAACACCGGUGGCGAAGGCGACUUUCUGGCCCUAUACUGACGCUGAGACGCGAAAGCGUGGGUAGCAAACA